UUAUACUUGCAGUCGAGGGGCAGCACAGUGUAGCAAUACAUGGGUGGCGACCGGCAAACGGGUGCGGAACACGUACAGAACCUUCCUUCGAGCGGGGAAUAGCCCAGAGAAAUUUGGAUUAAUACCCCAUAGGAUAGUGGAGUGGCAUCACUCAGCUAUUAAAGAUUUAUCACUUGAAGAUGGCUGUGCGUCUGAUUAGGUAGUUGGCGGGGUAACGGCCCACCAAGCCAGCGAUCAGUAACUGGUGUGAGAGCACGACCAGUCACACGGGCACUGAGACACGGGCCCGACUCCUACGGGGGGCAGCAGUAAGGAAUAUUGGUCAAUGGACGCAAGUCUGAACCAGCCAUGCCGCGUGGAGGAUGAAGGUCCUCUGGAUUGUAAACUUCUUUUAUCUGGGACGAAAAAGGGUCUUUCUAGAUCAACUGACGGUACCAGAUGAAUAAGCACCGGCUAACUCCGUGCCAGCAACCGCGGUAAUACGGAGGGUGCAAGCGUUAUCCGGAUUCACUGGGUUUAAAGGGUGCGUAGGCGGGCAUGUAAGUCCGUGGUGAAAUCUCCGAGCUUAACUCGGAAACUGCCAUGGAUACUAUGUGUCUUGAAUGUUGUGGAGGUGAGCGGAAUAUGUCAUGUAGCGGUGAAAUGCUUAGAUAUGACAUAGAACACCAAUUGCGAAGGCAGCUCACUACACAAAUAUUGACGCUGAGGCACGAAAGCGUGGGGAUCAAACAGGAUUAGAUACCCUGGUAGUCCACGCCCUAAACGAUGAUUACUCGACAUACGUGAUACACAAUGUGUGUCUGAGCGAAAGCAUUAAGUAAUCCACCUGGGAAGUACGACCGCAAGGUUGAAACUCAAAGGAAUUGACGGGGAUCCGCACAAGCGGUGGAUGAUGUGGUUUAAUUCGAUGCAACGCGAAAACCUUACC
rnacentral:rRNA from 1 species